AAUAAAACUUGGCUUGAACGACAUGCUGAAUCAGUUGAGUUGGAAUUGGAUGAUGAUGAUAGUGAGGAGGAAAGGGUAAAAAGUUUUAAACAAAAGAAAGCCACUUCUUCUCAAUUAAAGAACCUGCAGCAGGAUCUGAAGUCUCUUCUUUCUCUCCCAUUACAACCCAAGACAUUUUCAAAUCGCUUUUUGGCAGGGGCUGGGGUUUCUCCUCUACUGCAGAACCAAUUAGAGGAACUAGCUAAGCUGAAACUUGGCAAAAUAAGUAAUACUGGAGACAGUCAAAGGAG